GAUGAACGCUGGCGGCAGGCUUAACACAUGCAAGUCGAGCGCUGUAGCAAUACAGAGCGGCAGACGGGUGAGUAACACGUGGGAAUCUACCCAUCCCUGCGGAACAACUCCGGGAAACUGGAGCUAAUACCGCAUACGCCCUAUGGGGGAAAGAUUUAUCGGGGAUGGAUGAGCCCGCGUUGGAUUAGCUAGUUGGUGGGGUAAAGGCGUACCAAGGCGACGAUCCAUAGCUGGUCUGAGAGGAUGAUCAGCCACAUUGGGACUGAGACACGGCCCAAACUCCUACGGGAGGCAGCAGUGGGGAAGAUUGGACAAUGGGCGCAAGCCGGAUCGAGCCAUGCCGCGUGAGUGAUGAAGGCCUUAGGGUUGUAAAGCUCUUUCACCGAUGAAGAUAAUGACAGUAGUCGGAGAAGAAGCCCCGGCUAACUUCGUGCCAGCCGCCGCCGUAA
rnacentral:rRNA from 1 species